rnacentral:rRNA from 1 species
CCAAUAGCGUAUAUUAAAGUUGUUGCAGUUAAAAAGCUCGUAGUUGAAUUUCGGGGUCAGUAGGUUGGUCGUGCCACUGGUAUGUACUGGUCUCACUGAUUCCUCCCUCUUGUAGAACCGUAAUGCCAUUAAGUUGGUGUUGCGGGGAAACAGGACUGUUACUUUGAAAAAAUUAGAGUGUUUAAAGCAAGCUAACGCUUGAAUACAUUAGCAUGGAAUAAUGAAAUAGGACGUUCGAUCCUAUUUUGUUGGUUUCUAGGAUUGACGUAAUGAUUAAUAGGGAUAGUUGGGGGCAUUAGUAUUCAAUUGUCAGAGGUGAAAUUCUUGGAUUUAUUGAAGACUAACUACUGCGAAAGCAUUUGCCAAGGAUGUUUUCAUUAAUCAAGAACGAAAGUUAGGGGAUCGAAGACGAUCAGAUACCGUCGUAGUCUUAACCAUAAACUAUGCCGACUAGGGAUCGGAUGAUGUUAAUUUUAUAAUGACUCAUUCGGCGCCUUACG